rnacentral:lncRNA from 1 species
AACAAGGGAAAAUACUGAAGGGCUAUACUUAUUACAGAAAGAUAGAAAGGGACUCCUCGGUCUGCGGACACGGCAGAUAUACCUCGAAGUCUCUACAGAAACAUCUCCUCCCAAGGAUGAUAGAACUGAGUGGAAGUACCUGGAUCUGCAACAAAAAUGUGCAGAAGAGUAGCAUGAGCACACCAUAGCGGUGCCCAGUAAGUAUCAAGACUAACCUCGAUGGAGUAGUAACAAGGAACAGUCAAGACACCUACCGGUCUAAUAAAAUAGCACAAAUAUAGGAACAACGGGACAUGAUAUAUAUAUAUAAAGGCUACACGAAAUGGCUAAUAAUACUACAAGCACAAUAAGGGAAGAAAACAGCAAGUAACAACAAAAAUACUAAGAAUAAUGACACAUAAAAGCGAGCAAAAACACAACCCAAAUCCUAAAGUCACAAUACAGUAAAGGAAAACAAUAACUCAGAUCCUACGAUAGUGUUCACAUCAGGUCUUAUCCAACAAUUUCCAUGAAAUACCGAAUCUCGGAUAAAUUACAACUCACGAGUCCCAGUACCUGAAAUCUAACACCUAGCAUCCUGUGCCCCUAUUAGCCUCACGGUCAUACUGACAACUCACUUGCUAACUAGGGCCACUCUGACAUAUAUAAUAAGUAAACGAGGGUGUACAUCUAUACUUAGCAAAAUCAGGAGGACUUUAAAUCCAAUUGGAGUGUGCAACUACGUGUCUGCUUGUGCAACUGCUUUAACAAGAUUCCUACCAGCUAAUAAACGUAAGAAGAAGAACGGGCAGCACGUACGAUGUUUCCUCACAACUUCCACGAGAUAAAUCUCAUCAGGUAAGCGAACCACAAUCACAAUAUUAAACAAAAUAGGAAUGCCCCAGGCCAUCACAAAUUCUCACAAUCAACACCUGACAUAGCCCACCUUGUCCCGCCACGUGUGCAAAUAAUAACAUAAUAAGUGCCCGCCUUGUUUCGCCACAUGUGCAUCAUAAUGUUUCCACCUUGUCUCGCCACAUGCGCAACCCACAUAUAUGCAUAUAAACAUAUCCCGCCUUGUCACGCCACAUGUGUAAUAUAUCAAUAGUAACAAUAGCAUGGCAAAGACCUCGUGCAACCCCUCAACAACAACCGCAUGAUAGAGACCUCGUGCGCAACACAACCACAACCGCACGGCAGAGACCUCGUGUACCAACACAACAACAAUUGCACGAUGGAGACCUCAUGCACCAACACAACAACAGUGAUAGUAAUACAAACUAUAGCGAGUGAAUCCACUCCAAAAUUUCAAAUCACAAGGAAUCGGUAUAGCAAGUUCACAAGAAUAGCUAUAGUAAGAUAAAUGAAAGGCGUAAAGGGAACAGUUCAACGAAAAGGGAAAUUAACAUGUAGUGACAAUCCCAAAUAAACAAUUCACUACAAGGAAGACAACAUGAGUCUAGUAGUCCCAAAUAAAGGCAAGUCGACAAAGAUAUAGGUCAUCUAAACUCCGUUUAAGGUUGGGAAGUUACGAGAAUAUUCGAUAAUUUCAAUUAAGGGAAGGUGAUCUUAGCUGCACUUAAGACUAGGCGAUUAUAGGAGGGAUGACAAUAGCUCUUAGCAACACAGGCAGUUAUGAAAAGGUAGCAUAAUGAUAAAAGAGACGCAGUUCUUCAGUUAAAUCAAACAGGAUGAUAAUUAGGCAAUAAGAGUAAAUCAUGAAGCAAACAAUUCCAACUAAGCAUGUAGAGAUGAAACUAAUAAGCAGGAACUCAGUCAUAUCAAGAAUAACUCCAUACAUAGCGAACAUAAGAACCUAAGAACCCUAAAAGGCCAACUAUCCACAAUUAAGUCCGAGUAGGCAUUCGUCACCUCGCGUACACGGAUUACAAUCAACAUAGAAGACUCAAUCCUACGGGGAAGUCCCCCACACAAGGUUAGAAAAGAUACUUACCUCAAAGACGACAACUCGGUACUCUAAAAUGGACUUCUCCGGCGAAAAGACCUCCGGACAUCUCAAAUCCAACUAUAACAACUCCAAAACAGACAUACAUCGAAUAAGGAACUAUUUCGAAUAAUAAAGUUUCAAUCUUUACAAAAAUACACAAAUCGACCCAAAAGUCAACCCUCGGGCCCACACUUCGGAACCCUUCAAAUUUUACAAAAUCCGAUCACCCAUUCCAAAAUGAGUUCAACCAUAUAAAAUUUAUCCAAUUCCGAUACCAUUUGGUCCCUCAAAUCAUGAUUUUUCAUUUUGAAAAUUUUCUUCAAAAACCAACUCUUUUCCCAACCAAAAACAUAAUUUAAAUGAUAAAAAUAACGACAAAUUCAUGAAAUAUAUUUAAUUCUAGCUUACCCAAUCGAAUUUCAUGAAAAACCCACCAAAUAUCGCCAAGAACCGAGCUUUAGAAAUCAAAAUAUGAUGAAAACGGUGAAACCCUCGAUUUUGGAAUAUAUUCUGUCUGCCCAGAUGUUUGUUCAUUGCGAUCGCGAGAGAAGUGAUGCGAUCGCGUAGAAGACAAAAGCUACUGGCCCAAAAUGUUCUAUGCUAUCGCGGGCAAAUCAAUGCAAUCGCAUAAAAGGAAAAUGCUGAUAUCCAAAUUUGUGCUAUGCUAUCGCGAACAAAUCAGUGCAAUCGCAUAGAAGGAAAAUGUUGUUGUCCAAAUUUGUGUUAUGCUAUUGCGGACAAAUCAAUGCAAUCUCGGACAAAUUAAUGCAAUCGCAUAGAAGGAAAAUAUUGCUGUCCAAAUUUGUGCUAUGCUAUCGCGGACAAAUCAACGGAAUCGCAUAGAAGGAAAAUACUGUUGUCCAAAUUUGUGCUAUGCGAUCUCGAACGAAUCAACGCGAUCGCAUAGAAGGAAAAUAUGGCAGGUUAACAUUGUACUACGCGAUCGUGGCUACGCCUAUGCGAUCGCAUAGAAGGAAAUACCAGAUAGCAGAACAACAGUUAAAACAUAGGGAAAAAUAACUCGUAGCCCAUCCGAAACACACUCGAGGCUCCCGGGACCCCGUCUAAUCACACAAACAAGUCACAUAACCUAACACGCACUCGCUCGAGGUCUCAAUUCACAUCAAACAACGCUGAAAUGACGAAUCACACCAUGAAUCGAACUAUGAACUUCCAAAUCUUCCAAAUUUAAAAACUUGUGUCGAAACCGAUCAAAUCAAUCCAAAAUGACACCAAAUUUUGCAGACAAGUCCAAAUUGACAUAAUAGAGCUGCUCCAACUCUCGGAAUCACAUUCCGACUCCAAUACCACAAAAGUAAACUAUGAGUCAAACUUCUCCAUUUUCCAAACUUCAACUUUUCCAACUUUUGCUGAAAUGCCUCAAUUUACCCACGGACCUCCAAAUCUGAAUCCGGACGCGCACCUAAGUCAAAAAUCACCAUACGAAGCUGUUGGAAUCAUCAAAAUUUAUUCCGGGGCCGUUUACUCAAAAGUUCAAUUCCGGUCAAAUCCUCACCGUUCAAACUUGCAAAACUAGAUUCUUUCUUCCAAUUUGACUCUGAAUCAUCCAUUAACUAAAUUCAACCAUGCACGCAAGUCGAUACUCAUAUUGUGAAGCUGUUCAAGACCGUGCACCGCCGAACAAAGCUUAGAUUCUCAAAACGACUGGCCGGGUCGUUACAUCCGGCCAAUCACUUUCCAUCAAUCAAAGACAAUCUUCAUCAUGGAUCUCGGCUUCAACAAUGAUCCAAAAAGAAGGAAUCUCAUUUUCGUUCCAAUUCUUUGUUUAUUUUCUUACAAGCCUUACUUCAUCACAUUAUGUUUUUUGGUUCAUUAUUUUUAAAUCUAACAAUGUUUUAGGAUCUGGGCAUAAAGUCUGCAAGCAUGUCAUGUUAUUAAAAUCUGCAUUUACAUAACUGAAAAGAGAAUAAAAAAUGUGACAAGAUUAAGAAAUGAGACAUUCAUUGUCACACCUCUUUUUUCCCGAAAGGAUAGGAAAUUUUUCCAAUUAAAGUGACAUUAAUCAAAAUGAGAUUAUUUAUUCAAUUUCAGAGUCGCCACUUGGAAUAAUUUUAUGGUGUCCCAAGUCACCGGUUUAUUUUAAAUCCCAAAUCGAGGAAAUAUGACUCUGUUUUAAAGUCUGCGAAGCCAGAAGACCGGGUAAGGAAUUCUGUUAACCCGGGAAAAGGUGUUAGGCAUUCCCGAAUUCCGUGAUUUUAGCAUGGUCGCUUUAAUCAUACCUGACUUAGUUAAUUGUUAAUUACACAUUUUAAAACCUAUAUGCAUUUUACCUUUUACCGCUUUUAAAUUAUUUGAUUAUGACAUUAUGGGAUUAUCUUGAAACGAGUUACGCAUACAUUUGCUCGUUUUGUUUGGUGUGUCAAAGUCAUUUCACGCGUACGUGUACACAACUAAUAACACUUUAUUAUUAUUAAAAUUAUUUUGUCAAAGUCACGUGAACGCAUACUUUGCCUUUAAUUUGGGAAAUCAUAAAUAUGUCACGCGAACAUGUACAUAAUUAUAAUAAUUGAUUAAUUAAUACGCGCCUAAAGCAUACUAGUGAUUUAUGAGUUAUUUUUCCUAAACUAAUUUGAGAUUUAUUGUAAAGUUGGAAUUAUCCAAUUCAACUAAGUGAUUAAUGGCCUUAUAACGAUGAAAAAUCCAAUAAGUAUCUACAUCCCCGUCAAGUUCAUACUUUAACGAAAAUUCGGCAAGUAAAGAUACAAAUAUAGCUAAAAAAAAUUUACGUUUAAAGUAAAUACAUUUAAAGCUAAACAAACAGAAUGUAUGAAAUAUUUGCUCAAAAGCAUGAUAUGGCCUCUUGUGAUUAUUACUAGACUACCUUAGCAGGAAUUAGAACAGUACAAUAUAAUUAAAUUCAAAAACCUACUCAAUAUUAAAAAAAAUAAAAUAAUAACGAACCUUCAUCCCAAGUUAAACCUCAUAUGGUCCUACUCUCUUCAUAUCCAUCCAUUAUACAUCAAUGGAUUUAUUUUACUAAUAAAAGAGAAAAAUCACGGAUAUGGUAUUGCACAUAAAUUAAUUAUAUGACUUAUAUUCCUAGUUAAACUAAGAAAGACAGUGAAUUCAAAAGAUAUUUAAAGUUAUACAUAUAAAGAAAUGUUAUCAAAACUUUCACAAAGAGACAUAAAUUACUCAUAAACUAAAGAAAUGACUAAACUUAAUUGCCGAUACUUUAUUUUAAAUUAAGGAUAAACAUCAAUGAGAAACACUUGGAAAAAAACAAACUUUAAUCCUAACACAAAGAAGACAGAGACUUGGUUAAACUAAAAUAAACUAAGACUAUACCUUCAAUCACACAAAGUAAUGUAGAGUAAAUAACCCAAGCAUUCAAAAACCAAAACUAAUUGAAGAAACAAACCUUUAGGCGAAAAUUUCCUUGAAAAUUAAUCCAGCAAAAUACAAAAAUCAGGUACAGUAGAAACAACACUUGAACUUCAACAGAGAACCACAACCGGAACUUCGAACAGCAAAAGAGUGACGAUUUGUGUCCGAAUCCAUCAACUGAGCUCCAUUUCUUUGCUAUGUAUUGUCUUUAUUGAAAGAUCAAAGUAAAGGAAAAGCACCUCUAAUAUUUUAUAUUUUUUUUUAUAAGAGUCUAAACCUUUAAGAUUUUGAGUAAAAAGAUCCAAGACAAUUUGUAUCGAUAACUCUAAAAGAACCCCUCUCGGCAGACUUCCAAAACUCCCUC